rnacentral:rRNA from 1 species
CUACGGGAUGCAGCAGUGGGGAAUUUUGGACAAUGGGCGCAAGCCUGAUCCAGCCAUGCCGCGUGUGUGAAGAGGGCCUUCGGGUUGUAAAGCACUUUCGGACGGAACGAAAUCGCGCGGGCGAAUAUCCCGUGUGGAUGACGGUACCGUAAGAAGAAGCACCGGCUAACUACGUGCCAGCAGCCGCGGUAAUACGUAGGGUGCGAGCGUUAAUCGGAAUUACUGGGCGUAAAGCGUGCGCAGGUGGCGUCGCAAGUCAGGCGUGAAAUCCCCGGGCUUAACCUGGGAAUUGCGCUUGAAACUACGAUGCUGGAGUGCGGCAGAGGAAGGUGGAAUUCCACGUGUAGCGGUGAAAUGCGUAGAGAUGUGGAGGAACACCGAUGGCGAAGGCAGCCUUCUGGGUCGACACUGACGCUCAUGCACGAAAGCGUGGGGAGCAAACAGGAUUAGAUACCCGAGUAGUC